UGUAGUGUGGUGAAACUGGCAGACACGCCCUCCUCUCUCGGGGUGAAGAGCAUGGGAAAAAGCCGCUGCUUUUCGGAGUAGCUGCCUAACUACUUCGUGGAGGUUCAAGUCCUUCCGCUACAG
rnacentral:tRNA from 1 species